UACGGGGGGGGCAAGCGUUGUUCGGAAUUACUGGGCGUAAAGGGCUCGUAGGCGGCCAACUAAGUCGGGUGUGAAAGCCCCGGGCUCAACCUGGGAAUUGCAUUCGAGACUGCGUAGCUAGGGUGCGGAAGAGGGGAGCGGAAUUUCCGGUGUAGCGGUGAAAUGCGUAGAUAUCAGGAGGAACACCUGUGGUGUAGACAGCUUACUGGACCACUUCUGACGCUGAGACACGAAAGCGUGGGUAGCAAACAGG
rnacentral:rRNA from 1 species